rnacentral:rRNA from 1 species
GACGAACGCUGGCGGCGUGCUUAACACAUGCAAGUCGAACGGAAAGGCCCUGCUUUUGUGGGGUGCUCGAGUGGCGAACGGGUGAGUAACACGUGAGUAACCUGCCCUUGACUUUGGGAUAACUUCAGGAAACUUGGGCUAAUACCGGAUAGGAGCUCCUGCUGCAUGGUGGGGGUUGGAAAGUUUCGGCGGUUGGGGAUGGACUCGCGGCUUAUCAGCUUGUUGGUGGGGUAGUGGCUUACCAAGGCUUUGACGGGUAGCCGGCCUGAGAGGGAGACCGGCCACAUUGGGACUGAGAUACGGCCCAGACUCCUACGGGAGGCAGCAGUGGGGAAUAUUGCACAAUGGGCGGAAGCCUGAUGCAGCAACGCCGCGUGCGGGAUGACGGCCUUCGGGUUGUAAACCGCUUUCGCCUGUGACGAAGCGUGAGUGACGGUAAUGGGUAAAGAAGCACCGGCUAACUACGUG